AGGGCAGGGGCAGGGUCCUGGGGACCCCGGCCUCGGCCCCGGAGGACUUGGCGCGAGGGUUCUUUGCCUGAAACGUCGCCUACGCGAUUGUGGCGGUGUUGGGAUUUCGGUCUGACAUAGUGUGCUGCUUUUAAAUUCAGCAGUGCUUUGCCGUGCCCACCGCCCUACAGAGCAUUUACUUUCCUGGGGGCAGCCGGCUGGCUGCGGAGUGAGGCUCAGCUGCUCGCGCAGUGGCGACUGCCUCUUUCCUUUCUUAUUUCCGAAAUAAAGUCUAGGGGAGUGGAAGCGGUAACGUUGGCUCAGGACCGUCGUGCUGUUGCCCUUUGGAAAGCUUUAAAUGGUUUUAAGAAAUCUCUUUCCCAGGCGAGAUGACUUGGCGAAGUUCCCUCCGCAGAGCCAUGGAGGACCACACUCUUGUUCAGGGUAUGGCUGCCUGCCUGAAGCCAUAAAGAACAAUGAGAAUUGCCUCUCCCUGAUGGGAAGAGCACGGGCACCAGUGGAGUGUCUCCACAGCCAUGACCCCUCGACCACCAGCGCCUUCCAACAGACCCUUGUCACAAGUCUGCCAUGGCAGCACGGGGUCUGCUCCCGUCUCCUAGAGCACUUAGAAUGUUUCUGCUUCUUGUCCAGUUCUUAUCCACUACCAUUCAGUUGUCAGUUCUCGUGAUGACAGAGUCCACAUUACUCAUAUUUGGAUUCUUAACACUUCGCACAUUUUUGUACUUAGCUUUGGCCACUGAAAAUAAUUAGUGCAGAAGUGCAUUUCACUGUAUUUCAUCGGCCAAAGAGCUGCUGUGUAAUUGUUCAUUAAACUAUUACAAUUAAACAUCUGCCUCGAUAUUUUUGCC
rnacentral:lncRNA from 1 species